GCAAGUCGAGCGGAAACGAUCCUAGUUUACUAGGAGGCGUCGAGCGGCGGACGGGUGAGUAACGCGUAGGAAUCUACCUAAUAGUUGGGGAUAGCCCGGGGAAACUCGGAUUAAUACCGAAUAAGAUCUACGGAUGAAAGGGGGCUUCGGCUCUCGCUAUUAGAUGAGCCUGCGUGAGAUUAGCUUGUUGGUGAGGUAAAAGCUUACCAAGGCGACGAUCUCUAGCUGGUCUGAGAGGAUGAUC
rnacentral:rRNA from 1 species